UAAGGAAUAUUGGUCAAUGGACGCAAGUCUGAACCAGCCAUGCCGCGUGGAGGAUGAAGGUCCUCUGGAUUGUAAACUUCUUUUAUCUGGGACGAAACACUUCCUUUCUAAGAGGCCUGACGGUACCAGAUGAAUAAGCACCGGCUAACUCCGUGCCAGCAGCCGCGGUAAUACGGAGGGUGCAAGCGUUAUCCGGAUUCACUGGGUUUAAAGGGUGCGUAGGUGGGUAUGUAAGUCAGUGGUGAAAUCCCCGAGCUUAACUUGGGAACUGCCAUUGAUACUAUAUAUCUUGAAUACCGUAGAGGUAAGCGGAAUAUGUCAUGUAGCGGUGAAAUGCUUAGAUAUGACAUGGAACACCAAUUGCGAAGGCAGCUUACUAUGCGGUGAUUGACACUGAGGCACGAAAGCGUGGGUAGCAAACA
rnacentral:rRNA from 1 species